CCUACGGGAGGCAGCAGUGGGGAAUAUUGCACAAUGGGCGCAAGCCUGAUGCAGCAACGCCGCGUGCGGGAUGAAGGCCUUCGGGUUGUAAACCGCUUUCACCCAUGACGAAUGUAGACGGUAGUGGGAGAAGAAGCACCGGCUAACUACGUGCCAGCAGCCGCGGUGAUACGUAGGGUGCGAGCGUUGUCCGGAUUUAUUGGGCGUAAAGAGCUCGUAGGUGGUUUGUUGCGUCGGAUGUGAAAACUUGGGGCUCAACUCCAAGCUUGCUUUCGAUACGGGCAGACUUGAGGGAGGUAGGGGAGAACGGAAUUCCUGGUGGAGCGGUGGAAUGCGCAGAUAUCAGGAGGAACACCGGUGGCGAAGGCGGUUCUCUGGACCUUUCCUGACGCUGAGGAGCGAAAGCGUGGGGAGCAAACAGGAUUAGAUACCCCGGUAGUC
rnacentral:rRNA from 1 species